rnacentral:rRNA from 1 species
GACGAACCGAGCGAACGUUGUUCGGAAUCACUGGGCUUAAAGGGCGCGUAGGCGGGCUGUCAAGUCUGGGGUGAAAUCCCACGGCUCAACCGUGGAACUGCCUUAGAUACUGACGGCCUCGAGGGAGAUAGGGGCGAGCGGAACUGUGAGUGGAGCGGUGAAAUGCGUUGAUAUUCACAGGAACUCCGGUGGCGAAGGCGGCUCACUGGCUCGAUACUGACGCUGAGGUGCGAAAGCGUGGGGAGCAAACAGG